GACGAACGCUGGCGGCGUGCUUAACACAUGCAAGUCGAACGGAGAGGCACUGCAUUUGUGGUUUGCUCGAGUGUCGAACGGGUUUGUAACACGUGAGUAACCUGCCCUGUAAUUUGGGAUAACUUCAGGAAACUGGGGCUACUACCGGAUAGGAGCUCCUGCUGCAUAGUGUGUGUUGGAAAGUUUCGGCGGAUGGGAAUGGACUCGGGGCUUAUCAGCUUUUUGGUGGGGUAGUGGAUUAGCAAGGCUUUGACCGGUAGCGGGCCUGGGAGGGUGACCGGCCACAUCGCGCCUGAGAUGCGGCCCGGACCCGUCCGGGACGGAGGAGUGGGGAAUAUUGUACAAUGGGAGGAAGCCUGAUGCAGCACAGCGGCGUGCGGGAUGACGGCAUUCGGGUUGUAACCCGCUUUCGCCUGUGACGAAGCGUGAGUGACGGUAAUGUGUAAAGAAGCACCGGCUAACUACGUG
rnacentral:rRNA from 1 species